GCCUGGGUGGCUCAGUCGGUUGAGCGUCUGACCUCUGUUCAGGUCAUGAUCUCAAGGUCUGUGGGUUCGAGCCCCACAUCGGGCU